CCUUCUCUUGAGAGGCAGGCGGGCCCUAGCUGCAGCGUCAAGAAGGACAGAAUAACGGGCUCCCAGAUUCACAAGCCCCACCAAGAGGAUCACCCCAGGAACGCUUGGAGGCUGAGGAGUUCACUGAGGCUACUGCAUCUUGAGACUCAGGAUGAAGACCCAGCUUGGGGCUGUCAAAGGUUUUUUGCAUGUCUGACACCCAUGACUCCACCUGGACCUUAUGGCUCCACCCAGAAGCAAUUCAGCCCAACAGGAGGACAGCUUCAACCCAUUACGAUUUCAUCUCUGCCCCAACCACUCAGCAGCAAGCACCUGUUACCUGUCCACCCCCACCCCUUCCCCCAAACUGCCUUUGAAAAAUCCCUAACCUAUGAGCUUUGAAUAAGAUGAGUACGAACUUCAUCGCCCACGUGGCGUGGCCGGCCUCGUGUCUAUUAAAUUCUUUUUCUACUACAA
ensembl:lncRNA PVT1 Pvt1 oncogene